GACGAACGCUGGCGGCGUGCUUAACACAUGCAAGUCGAACGAUGAACCCGGAGCUUGCUCCGGCGGAUUAGUGGCGAACGGGUGAGUACCACGUGAGUAACCUGCCCUUGACUCUGGGAUAACUGCUAGAAAUGGUAGCUAAUACCGGAUACGACCCUCGGUGGCAUCACCAGGGGGUGGAAAGAAUUUCGGUCAAGGAUGGACUCGCGGCCUAUCAGCUAGUUGGUGAGGUAACGGCUCACCAAGGCGACGACGGGUAGCCGGCCUGAGAGGGUGACCGGCCACACUGGGACUGAGACACGGCCCAGACUCCUACGGGAGGCAGCAGUGGGGAAUAUUGCACAAUGGGCGCAAGCCUGAUGCAGCAACGCCGCGUGAGGGAUGACGGCCUUCGGGUUGUAAACCUCUUUUAGUAGGGAAGAAGCGAAAGUGACGGUACCUGCAGAAAAAGCACCGGCUAACUACGUGCCAGCAGCCGCAGUAA
rnacentral:rRNA from 1 species